ensembl:lncRNA
CUCUUUAGUCUGAAGUCCCACUUAUUUUUUCUUUUGUUUUCCUUGUCAGAGAAUCCCUUUCAAGUUUUUACUGUUGCCUUUCCUCUUCUCCACCAUUUGUGUAAUAUUUUUCAUCAUCACCAUUUUAUGAUUUUUCCAUUCAACAGGGAAAAAAACGCUGUAAGUCUUGUAUAUACUUGAAGCUCUUUCCAGAACUGCUGAGCCCACCUUGCACCCUCUCCCCCCCAUGCAAGCUUAGCAGCUGCCUGGCCUUCCCUCUCUCAGAACCCCACCUUGCCUAUGGGGGGGGCGGGGAGGAGCAGUGCUGUCGUGUUGCCGUGGCAACUCGCAAUCUGCUGAGUCAGCUAGUUUGGGGUGUGCUUGCUGAGGCCUUGGGUGCUGGCCUAGCCAGCUGCCCCUCACUCAGCAUGACAGGGAAACAACCCCAUUCAGUGCCCUCCAAGUCUGGCACGAUCACCAGCUCUCUGUGCUCGCUUGUCUUGGCAGUUACUCUCGGGUGUGAAGCUUGUGCCCAGGUGUGGGUCCACAGAAAGCUGUGACCAGCAGCCUCUCCUCAAGGAGAAAUCGGAGUAGGCCCUUGGCUUUCAAGGACUUGUUAUUGGCCAUUUGGAGGCUUUUCAAAGAUGACUCUGAGGUGUCAGAAGAGGAACCACAUGUGACUCCGUUGGAGCUGGACCUGGAGCCUCCAGCACGGCUGUGAGGACGCUCAGUGCCUUCCUGGCCACUCUGCUACACUUCCUGUCACCGAAUGCUGAAGAGAGACCCCCGGCUGGUGUCAGCGCUCAGCACUUGGUCAAGGCACUGGUCACGUUCUACUUUGGCUAACUCUUCGCUCCCUUCCGAAGACGCCACCUGACUUCCACCUCCACAGAGCAGUUUUGCAGGCUUUGGAUAUCGUACAAAUGGACUCACAAGCUAUCCUAUUGUUGGACUUUCACAAAUCUCUGGCUCUUUCUACCCUCUCUGGCAUUGGAGGCCAGUGAGCUCCCCACUCACGGAGCUUUACCUGCCUGCAGGCACAGUCAGAUCCAACUUCUGGAAAGAGAAGCCUUGAAAAAACAAAGCUUCCCCACCAAACACCUGAUGGGAACCGUAACACAGGACCUCCAGCCCCGGCUUCCAGCUGGCUGGGAUUCUAGUUGGCUUCCUGUGUGCUUCUCUUGCAUAUUUUGAGACCUGUGCACGCUAAGAAAAACCCACAUGUGAAAAUCCAAACCAAAUAAAGCUGUUUAAUCAGUGUCAUUACAAAAUGAUGGUAAUUUCCUUGCCUUGCAAAAGGAUUCACUGUCAGCUUGUUUUAGGUAGUAAGCUCCCUCUUUAUAUUUUAAAAUACGUAAUUUAAAAUGACUUGAACCAAUUUUCAGGAACAUUUUCAUAUAUAUAUCAAGACAUCUGAUUGGACCAUAUUUAUGUUUUCACCGUUUAUUUAUUUGUUCCUUUAUCUGCCCUUCCCACCUGAGCUGUUAGUCACCGGGAGACCAGCGAGAGCCGGGAAGGAAGCCCUGGAGCGGAGCUGGGGCAAGAACGGCUGGGGAUGGUACGGCGAGUUUCUUGGCUCCACGGGCUGGUGAAG